UUUUACAAACACUUAUUUUGAUCGCUGCGAAGCUUGAUUUCUAGAAGUAUUUAAUUUAAACGUCAGUUAACUCCCUUAUGUGUUAUAUACCACUUUAACUCAAUCAAUAUUUGAAAUGACAUUUAGAGCGCAAAAUCAGUGCAAUAUACAAGAUAGCGAAGGAACAAAAUGUACGUCGCUGAAAACGGAGGACCGAGAGGAAUGAACCUCUCGUUAGUUCUAUAAGGGAAAAGUCGAUGGAAAAAUUCGUCAAAAGAAACGAAGUUUUGGUUGCUUGAAACUGAGUCGAUUUCGAUUUCGAGACGUAAAUUGACGCCCGAGUCAUUGGUCUUAUGACCUGAUUUUGUGAUGCGUAGUCUCCAACUUCAUGAUACAAGCAAAUUUAAAACUGACAACAAAAUCUCAAAAGUACUAUUGAGUCGUUUUAAAUGUUGUUUCCCAUUUGCGAUAACACUUGCACAUAUUUUAAGCAUAAGUCUUGUAGGUAACAGUAGUUUAUCGCUAUUCUAAUCUCGUAUACUUACGAAGAAAAUACUUAUCAAGAUAAAAAAAAACAUGGGAAUCGCAUGCUCACUAAUUACCAUAGCGAGGCAAAUAAGGCUUCUCCUGUAGUUCAUACAUCAACAACCAUGCGAAUCAACAGCCAGUCAUAACUUUGUUAUAUCCCGAGGGUAAAGGACACAAUCGGUAAAUGUAGCUCUCGGACGAAUUGUCUGAUAGACAAAGAUCUAAAAAGUAAAAUAACAAAAUAUACCAAAUCCAAGGAAAUUUAAAACGGAAGGUUCUUUAUCAAUUGACAAAAUUUAAAGCUGAAACACAUUGAACGAAUGGAAAACAACUGUCAUAUUCCUGUUUUCGAAACAGACAUUUCCUUAUUUAGAAAAUGAUGAAUACACUUAGAACAUGUCUCUUGUGAAAUGAGACACAUACAUACUUAUUCGUGGUGGUGACUACAAAAACGUAAGUGACGAUCGAAUAGUUCUUUUUACAACUCUUCUAUAUAUCUUGAAAGUCGAAUUUCUUUGAAUAUGAUAUUUCUUUGGCACAUCAUAAAUGAAACACGAACAUUUAUAAGGAACAUCCUCCAUGUGCGUACAUAAAGGGGAGGGGAGAUCAUUUUGUCGCCUACGGACUCUACUAAAUAAUACAUAAAGCUAUAGAAUACAUCAAUGUUUUUUCUUACAAAAAAGAAGAUGUGGUAUGAUUGCCAAUAAGACAGCUCUUCGCAACAGACUAAAUGACACAGAAAUUAACAAUUAUAGGUGACCGUA
rnacentral:lncRNA from 1 species